CCCUGAGAAUGUCAAGAGCUGUAGGUCGAGCGUCUCCGGGCCCAUUCUGCUCUAAGAAGGCUUGGGUGUACUUGGCAUUCUUGCCAAGGUGAUUACUAAUGAGCGGAUUGGCCAUUGUGGUGAUUGUCUGGAAGAUUGUCUGGAAGAUUGACUUUGCCUGGCAUUUUGGUGGGGAAGUUGGUUAACGGGCUUUUUAUUGAGUUUAUUGAGUUUUCAUCCUGAUCGGAUACUGACACCGCUCCGGCCUUAUGAGUACGAGAAGGCAUAAGUCCGGGAGAAUACACCUCGGCUGACCCCACGAGUGACUCAACCGACCGCGCUAGGAGACGAAAGCUCAAGGGCCACGAGAAGGGGUAUUAGUAGCCAAUCAUAUACCACAUC
rnacentral:sRNA from 1 species